CCUACGGGAGGCUGCAGUGAGGAAUAUUGGUCAAUGGCCGGAAGGCUGAACCAGCCAUGCCGCGUGAAGGGCAGGGGCCUAUGGGCGUUAAACUUCUUUUGUGCGGGAGCAAGAAUGGUCACGUGUGGCCAGACGAGAGGACCGUACGAAUAAGCAGCGGCGAACUCCGUGCCAGCAGCCGCGGUAAGACGGGGGAUGCAAGCGUUGUCCGGAUUUAGUGGGGUUAAAGGGUGCGUAGGCUGUGAGGUAAGGCAGCGGGGAAAGGCCCCCGCUCAACGGGGGGAAGUGCCAUUGAUACUGCCUUGCUGGACUGCGGCUGCCGUGGGCGGAAUGUGUGGUGUAGCGG
rnacentral:rRNA from 1 species